rnacentral:misc_RNA from 1 species
AAGUCGUAACAAGGUCUCCGUAGGUGAACCUGCGGAGGGAUCAUUAACACGUUUCCCAAAAAAACGUUUUCCAACCAACACGUGAACUUGAUGAAUCAAAACUUCGGACCUAAUGAAAAGCUGUUUUCGUCACUUUGCGCUAGUGAUGAGCAAAUUGAAAUUGACCCCCCCCCCAAAAGGGCCAUUUUGAUUUGCGGCGCAUCGAGGCUGUGCAACUCACACUUGCAAGGAAACUCUCUUCAUUGGGCUAUCAAAACUCUUUGUUUCCAUUCUCUCCUCAUCUUAACUGGGGAAUGGGAACUAAAACAAACCAUUUUCACCCCUUAAGACAACUGACUAAUCUCGAAUUUAAACUAAGCAAGCACAAGGAAACUUGUCUUGAUUAAUUUAAUCCAAAUAUCUAAAGCACAACUCUUAGCAAUGGAUAUCUUGGUUCUC